AUUGAACGCUGGCGGCAGGCUUAACGCAUGCAAGUCGAGCGGAGAUGAGGUGCUUGCACCUUAUCUUAGCGGCGGACGGGCGAGUAAUGCUUAGGAAUCUGCCUAUUAGUGGGGGACAACAUUCCGAAAGGAAUGCUAAUACCGCAUACGUCCUACGGGAGAAAGCAGGGGAUCUUCGGACCUUGCGCUAAUAGAUGAGCCUAAGUCGGAGUAGCUAGUUGGUGGGGUAAAGGCCUACCAAGGCGACGAUCUGUAGCGGGUCUGAGAGGAUGAUCCGCCACACUGGGACUGAGACACGGCCCAGACUCCUGCGGGAGGCAGCAGUGGGGAAUAUUUGACAAUGGGGGGAACCCUGAUCCAGCCAUGCCGCGUGUGUGAAGAAGGCCUUAUGGUUGUAAAGCACUUUAAGCGAGGAGGAGGCUACUGAGACUAAUACUCUUGGAUAGUGGACGUUACUCGCAGAAUAAGCACCGGCUAACUCUGUGCCAGCCGCCGCGGUAAUAC
rnacentral:rRNA from 1 species